rnacentral:tRNA from 2 species
GGAGAAGGCCACGCCCCACCCUCAGCACCCAAAACUGAGAUUCUACUUAAACUACUCCUUGA